GAUUAACGCUGGCGGCGUGCAUGAAACAUGCAAGUCGAGCGCGGUGUUCAGUGGGGUAACCCGCUGAACAUCUAGCGGCGCACGGGUGAGUAACACGUGAGCAACCUACCUUCGAGUCGGGGAUAGCCCUGGGAAACCAGGAUUAAUACCCGAUGUGGUCACGACGAGACAUCUCGAUGUGAGUAAAGGCGCAAGCCGCUCGAUGACGGGCUCGCGGCCUANAGUCUUGUUGGUGGGGUACGGCCGUACCAAGCGAUGAUGGGUAGCUGGUCUGAGAGGACGAUCAGCCACACUGGGACU
rnacentral:rRNA from 1 species